AGUGAACGCUGGCGGUAGGCCUAACACAUGCAAGUCGAACGGCAGCACAGUAAGAGCUUGCUCUUACGGGUGGCGAGUGGCGGACGGGUGAGGAAUACAUCGGAAUCUACUUUUUCGUGGGGGAUAACGUAGGGAAACUUACGCUAAUACCGCAUACGACCUACGGGUGAAAGCAGGGGAUCUUCGGACCUUGCGCGAUUGAAUGAGCCGAUGUCGGAUUAGCUAGUUGGCGGGGUAAAGGCCCACCAAGGCGACGAUCCGUAGCUGGUCUGAGAGGAUGAUCAGCCACACUGGAACUGAGACACGGUCCAGACUCCUACGGGAGGCAGCAGUGGGGAAUAUUGGACAAUGGGCGCAAGCCUGAUCCAGCCAUACCGCGUGGGUGAAGAAGGCCUUCGGGUUGUAAGGCCCUUUUGUUGGGAAAGAAAAGCAGCAGGUUAAUACCCCGCUGUUCUGACGGUACCCAAAGAAUAAGCGCCGGCUAACUUCGUG
rnacentral:rRNA from 1 species